UCAACGCAUUCCGUACUUUCAUAAAUCUCUUCUCGGAUAUCUCUACGAUUACAGCCGUAUCCUAUUAUUCCAACUGUAGCAUAAAAUAAAAUAGACGAGACAAGCGUUCUCAGUCGGCAGAUCACAAUACCCAAAGUCGGAAAUAAAAAGGUAAAACAAAGAGGUGGAAAAGUGAAGACAAGAGGACAAACAAAGAUUAGUUUCCCUAAUAAGUCUGAAGAGAUCAGACAAUAUGCUCUUAACACAAACCAUACCACGCUCCAUGGGACAUGUAAUUUCUUUAGGAUUAUUUUUAUAAGAUUCC